AAAUGCUUCAAGUUGAGUAAAGAUCGACUAAUCUUACCUCCGAAUAUCGACGUUUUCCGAUAUUCAAAAUAGUCAGCAGUGGCAUUAAAGGCAUAAUACUCCUCCCAAGAAAGACUUCCAAGAUGGAGCCCAAGAACAUUGCUGGUGAGAUUGUCACAGAUUACUCCAGACCAUCCACAACAGUCCACAUCACCACCCCAAGAAGCAAGCCGGUUAGAAGGAUCGAUGAGGUCAUGUUUGAAGAUCAAAAGAGCUUCUCUUUCACUCUGGAUGCAACCGCCACUGAGACUUCCUUGGCAAGGGCCUACACUGAUAAUGGUCGCAAGCAAGGCAAACCAAAGGAAAGGGAGUGUAAAAGUAGCACUAGUCACUAUGUUUUCCAUGAGCUUGGAAGGCAAAA
rnacentral:misc_RNA from 1 species